rnacentral:rRNA from 1 species
UACGUAGGGGGCAAGCGUUGUCCGGAAUCAUUGGGCGUAAAGAGCGUGUAGGCGGUCCGGUAAGUCGGCUGUGAAAGUCCAGGGCUCAACCCGGGAACUGCGUCCGAUACUGGCAGGCUUGAAUCCGGGAGAGGGAAGCGGAAUUCCUGGUGUAGCGGUGAAAUGCGUAGAUACCAGGAGGAACACCGGUGGCGAAGGCGGCUUCCUGGCCGAGUACUGACGCUGAGGCACGAAAGCGUGGGGAGCGAACGGG